rnacentral:rRNA from 1 species
AACGAACGCUGGCGGCAUGCCUAACACAUGCAAGUCGAACGGUGGUUUCGGGCAUAGUGGUGCACUGGUGGGUAACGCGUGGGAAUCUGCCCUUGGGUUCGGAAGAACAGGGGGAAAUUGGUGCGGAUACCGGCUGAUGUCUUCGAACCAAAGAUUGAGCGCACAGGGGUGAGCCCGCGUAGGAUUAGCUAGAUGGUGGGGUAAGGGGCUACCAAGGCGACGAGGGUUAGCUGGUAUGAGAGGAUGAGCAGCCACACUGGUACUGAGACACGGCCCAGACUCCUACGGGAGGCAGCAGUGGGGAAUAUUGGAAUGUGGGCGGAAGGCUGAUGGAGCACUGACGGGUGAGUGAUGAAGGUCUGAGGGUUGGAAAGUUCGUUUACACGGGAUGAUAUUGACAUUACCGGGAGAAUAAGCUCCGGCUAACUCCGUG